rnacentral:ncRNA from 1 species
UUUCUUCAGGGCAGGGUGAAAAUCCCUACCGGCGGUAAAGCCCGCGAGCUAGUUUUAGCAUGAUUCGGUGAAACUCCGAAGCCGACAGUAUAGUCUGGAUGAAAGAAGAA